CACAUCAACCGCCACGUCGUCGGCUGCUGGAGCUCACUCCUCAGGCUGGCCGGGCUGAACCGCUGCGGCAAGAGCUGCUGCCUGCGGUGGAUCAACUACUCCCGCCCCGACCUCAAGCGCGGCUGCUUCUCGCAGCAGGAGGAGGACCACAUCGUCGCGCUCCACCGGAUCCUCGGCAACAAGUCUGCACAACUGCAUAUUUACAGUCCAAUGCGUUCAGUUACAAACUUACAAUUGCAAUUUUUCAGUCAACCUUGCGUACGAUUUUGCAAUGCGCGGAGAUCGUUCGUGCAGACCGAGUGA
rnacentral:rRNA from 1 species